rnacentral:rRNA from 1 species
UGGGGAAUAUUGCGCAAUGGGCGAAAGCCUGACGCAGCGACGCCGCGUGGGUGAUGAAGGCCUUCGGGUCGUAAAGCCCUUUCGAGGGGAAAGAAAAAGCUGAGUUCAAAUAGGGCUCAGCCCUGACGGUACCCCUAGAAGAAGCACCGGCUAACUCCGUGCCAGCAGCCGCGGUAAUACGGAGGGAGCUAGCGUUGUUCGGAAUUACUGGGCGUAAAGCGUACGUAGGCGGUGACUCAAGUCAGAGGUGAAAGCCUGGAGCUCAACCCCAGAACUGCCUUUGAAACUAGGUCGCUAGAAUCACGGAGAGGUGAGUGGAAUUCCGAGUGUAGAGGUGAAAUUCGUAGAUAUUCGGAAGAACACCAGUGGCGAAGGCGGCUCACUGGACGUGUAUUGACGCUGAGGUACGAAAGCGUGGGGAGCAAACAGGAUUAGAUACCCCCGUAGUCCCUGAGCGGGCUGGCAAGGCGCAU